CUCUCUCUCUCUCUCUCUCUCUCUCUCUCUCUUCCUUUUUCUGUAUGUAUGUAUGGAUUGGUUAAAGUCAGUUAUCAUGGGCAGCUGACUUUGACUCCAAAUUAAAGUUAAACAACACAUUGUACAGCUGUGCACAGAACACCUUUGAGUGUCAAUUUGGAUGGCAACUAGAGGCAUACUUUUUGAACUUCAGGUAUGUAACCGAAAAGUAAAUAAAACACUAUUUUUUCAGUAACCUUUUUUUUUUCUUCUAAAAGAUAACUUAAAAAUCAAACUAUACGAACAUUAAAUUGGUGCUGUACCAAAGCCUUAUGACAUAUUCUCCACUCUGUAUAUUCUGUCUCCGGGGAGCUCCCUGCUUUAUUCCUCUUCUCAAAAGCCUGGGAAUGCCAGUGUGUGUCAAGCCUGGGGCUGGGUGCUUGGGACCUGUGGGCUGAAGGGACUCUUGGGAGCAGAAGAUGAUGGUGAAGGUGGGGUACCCAUCUUCUGCCUGAGCAGAUACCGAAGGGAAAGCGGGUGUUGGUGUAUGUGGCAUGCAUGUGCGUGCAUGUGUGUGUGCGUGCAUGCACGUGUGCAUGAGCUCAUCAGUGCAUAGUGCCGAAGUGCAUGCACUACCUGGGGAUUGAAAGGGAGACCCAGGUUGGCCUGGGUGUGGGGUGUCUGUGGGAGUGAGGGGCACGCCCCUUCCUUUUUCCCAUUUCCCCUUUCUUGUAGGUUAGUAAUGGAGGUGUAUCAGAAACAGCUACACUCUCAAACAGGUGCUUUUCCCCCUCAAAAAAAAAAAAAAAUCUCCAAACUACGUAUCUAUCUGUGAAGGGCCUGUCCCUGGGACAGGCACCUCAGCUACCAAAUCCUAACCGCCUAAGGCUGAGAGGAACCCUUUUUCUCUCUAGCCCCUGCCUAGUUUCUUGGGGACAAAGUUUCCUCCAAGGAUCUCUCCAUCUCCUGUUCCUUGGCCUGGGUGGGCUUCUUAGCCCAUUGAGAGGGCCUCACUGUGGCAGACCCAUAGCUGUACCUGCUCCGUGGUCCUAAUCAAUAAUGCCUGCCCUGCCUGCUGAGGACAGUGAUUCCUUUGGCCUCAGACUUGUCAGUGUAAAGUUGAGCACCAGCCCCGGUUUAUUUGGGAGGAAACCUGCAGUCGGCCUUGACCUAGACUGCGACUCUAGGCUCCACCUGCUGGUGCUUUCAGACUUGCCGAAGCUGACCAACUCAUCACCAGUUAACACUGCAUGUCCAUAUCCGCAAACAACAACAGUACAUAAGCAAACACAGGGAAAGAGAGAGAAAGAAGACACAUCCGGUAACUAGAUGUGUGGUCAGCGAAGGUACCCCUGGGAACAUUGCAAGCUAAGCUGAUUACAAAACAUUUAGUAUUUAAUUACUCCUCAUGUACCAUUACUCUGCUUCAGAAAUGUUUUGUAUUUUGAUAUAAAUAAAAAUUUGCUUAAAA
rnacentral:lncRNA from 1 species